GCGAGCAUGCUGCGGGAAAAGAUCAAGGCGCUCGCCGGGCGCUGACCUGUCAGGCGGAGGGUGAGUGCGGCGGCUCCGCCGCCGCCCGCUCGCGC
rnacentral:tRNA from 1 species